rnacentral:misc_RNA from 1 species
UCCGGUUUGUCACCGGCAGUCUCACUAGAGUGCCCUUUCGUAGCAACUAGUGACAAGGGUUGCGCUCGUUGCGGGACUUAACCCAACAUCUCACGACACGAGCUGACGACAGCCAUGCAGCACCUGUGUUAGCGCUCCCUUUCGGGCACCCCCACCUCUCAGCAGGGUUCGCUACAUGUCAAGGGUAGGUAAGGUUCUUCGCGUUGCAUCGAAUUAAUCCACAUCAUCCACCGCUUGUGCGGGUCCCCGUCAAUUCCUUUGAGUUUUAACCUUGCGGCCGUACUCCCCAGGCGGUCAACUUCACGCGUUAGCUUCGUUACUAAGGAAGUUACCUUCCCCAACAACCAGUUGACAUAGUUUAGGGCGUGGACUAC